UACGAAGGGGGCUAGCGUUGCUCGGAAUCACUGGGCGUAAAGGGCGCGUAGGCGGCCAAGUAAGUUGGGGGUGAAAGCCCGUGGCUCAACCACGGAAUUGCCUUCGAUACUGCUUGGCUUGAGACCGGAAGAGGUGAGUGGAACUGCGAGUGUAGAGGUGAAAUUCGUAGAUAUUCGCAAGAACACCAGUGGCGAAGGCGGCUCACUGGUCCGGAACUGACGCUGGGGCGCGAAAGCGUGGGGAGCAAACAGG
rnacentral:rRNA from 1 species